GUAGCAGGAUUCUUGGGAACAGUGUCUUCAGUUAUGCCAAGAAGAAUGGCAUUUCUCACAAGGAAGUGUGCCGCUGACUUAGAGCUGUCUGUUGCAAGGUUAUAGAGCUCUUCAAGGGAACAGAGUGUGUCCUGCUCAUCUUUACAUCCCAAGUACUUGACCCAAGGCCUUACACAUAAAGAACACUUGUUUCAUUUGGGACUUGGGUGAUGUCGGACUUCCCUUCGCCAUGCAAUCCGUCCCGGAUAUCGAUGGGGCUGCCUUGGUGAAGAAUGGUUCACCCAUCCUUUCACCCAUCUCUCACAUCACUUUGAGACCUUAGAUGGUCUCUUGCUGGGUGCACAUUCAUUGUAUCAUCUAAAGAGUAUUUCCUAUAAAAGUUUCUGGUGAUUGGAGCUUCUGGAUUGGUGAAUACAUCAAGAUUCUGGGAGGGUGAUGUUCCAGGAGAGGGCAUGGGAGCUCCACGUUCCUCCUCCCAUACCUUGCCCUAUGCAUCUCUUCCACUGUUCCUGAGUUGUAUCCUUUAUAAUAAUAAUAGUCACAGAAUUAGAACUCCUUGUCCACUCCAGGCUGGUUGAGACCACCAACUCAUCAACUGGGCCCACAGAGAUGUCCAAUAAGCGACCUUUUGAUGUCAAGACGCUAAAAACUCCACCCUCAGAUCAUGCUAAUAACACCGUCAUUUUGUAAACAUGGGUCCUAUGAAGAGGCAUGAAGUCUGACUACACUUGCGCAGAUCAUCAAUUACCUCAUCUCUCCUCACCUCCAAUCACCUCUCUCCACAUUUCAGACCACCUUGCCCCCCCCAUCCCAUAAAUAUCCCUGAGCCCCUAUUUUCAGGGAAGUGAAUUUGAGGCUCAUGCUCUCGCUUCCUCACAUGGCUGCCUUGUGAGUAAACCCUCU
rnacentral:lncRNA from 1 species